rnacentral:rRNA from 1 species
UCAGGAUGAACGCUAGCUACAGGCUUAACACAUGCAAGUCAGGGCAGCAUGAACUUAGCUUGCAAGUUUGAUGGCGACCGGCGCACGGGUGAGUAACGCGUAUCCAACCUACCCCUUACGUAGGGCAUAGCUCGUAGAAAUGCGGAGUUAAUACCCUAUGUUUUCCGGAGACGGCAUCAGAACUGGAACAAAGAUUGAUCGCUAAGGGAUGGGGAUGCGUACGAUUAGGUUGUUGGCGGGGUAACGGCCCACCAAGCCUGCGAUCGUUAGGGUUCUGAGAGGAAGGUCCCCCACACUGGUACUGAGACACGGACCAGACUCCUACGGGAGGCAGCAGUGAGGAAUAUUGGUCAAUGGGCGUGAGCCUGAACCAGCCAAGUAGCGUGCAGGACGACGGCCCUACGGGUUGUAAACUGCUUUUAUCAGGGGAUAAAGUGCGGGACGUGUCCCUCAUUGCAGGUACCUGAUGAAUAAGGACCGGCUAAUUCCGUGCCAGCCGCCGC